rnacentral:rRNA from 1 species
GGAUCCAGACUUUGAUUCUGGCUCAGGAUGAACGCUAGCUACAGGCUUAACACAUGCAAGUCGAGGGGAAACGACAUCGAAAGCUUGCUUUUGAUGGGCGUCGACCGGCGCACGGGUGAGUAACGCGUAUCCAACCUGCCCAUCACUUGGGGAUAACCUUGCGAAAGUAAGACUAAUACCCAAUGAUAUCUCUAGAAGACAUCUGAAGGAGAUUAAAGAUUUAUCGGUGAUGGAUGGGGAUGCGUCUGAUUAGCUUGUUGGCGGGGUAACGGCCCACCAAGGCUACGAUCAGUAGGGGUUCUGAGAGGAAGGUCCCCCACAUUGGAACUGAGACACGGUCCAAACUCCUACGGGAGGCAGCAGUGAGGAAUAUUGGUCAAUGGGCGAGAGUCUGAACCAGCCAAGUAGCGUGCAGGAGGACGGCCCUAUGGGUUGUAAACUGCUUUUAUAAGGGAAUAAAGUGAGUCUCGUGAGACUUUUUGCAUGUACCUUAUGAAUAAGGACCGGCUAAUUCCGUGCCAGCAGCCGCGGUAAUACGGAAGGUCCGGGCGUUAUCCGGAUUUAUUGGGUUUAAAGGGAGCGUAGGCCGGAGAUUAAGCGUGUUGUGAAAUGUAGAUGCUCAACGUCUGCACUGCAGCGCGAACUGGUUUCCUUGAGUACGCACAAAGUGGGCGGAAUUCGUGGUGUAGCGGUGAAAUGCUUAGAUAUCACGAAGAACUCCGAUUGCGAAGGCAGCUCACUGGAGCGCAACUGACGCUGAAGCUCGAAAGUGCGGGUAUCGAACAGGAUUAGAUACCCUGGUAGUCCGCACGGUAAACGAUGGAUGCCCGCUGUUGGUCUGAAUAGGUCAGCGGCCAAGCGAAAGCAUUAAGCAUCCCACCUGGGGAGUACGCCGGCAACGGUGCAACUCAAAUGA